CGGGCGGCGCCGGCGCGCCUGUUGCCCUGGCUGCGCUGGCCGCCGCGCUGCAGCCGCCGCCCACUGACGCCGACGACGCCGAGCGAAGAGUCGUAAGCUCCUUGCAGCAAGCAGCGGAAGGUGACUGGCCACCGGCGGGCGUCGCCACGGGACUCGCGGUGGUGGACCGUCUCGACACCUACGUCGCACUGGCUACAGGUCUAUCAACGCCGUUCGGUUCGGGCCCGGUGACCGCAGAGGGCUGGACUCGCGACGAGCCCGUGGCGCCUCUGGACCUCGCACCCGCCAUCUUAACGGAUGAACGAAUUUGCGGCACCAGGUACGUGGUGGGCGCGGACGGGUCGGGCGCGCUGGCGCAGGGCGCGGCGGCGCUGGCGGCGGCGGGCGCG